GGGUUGUGAGGUUAAGCGACUAAGCGUACACGGUGGAUGCCCUGGCAGUCAGAGGCGAUGAAGGACGUGCUAAUCUGCGAUAAGCGUCGGUAAGGUGAUAUGAACCGUUAUAACCGGCGAUUUCCGAAUGGGGAAACCCAGUGUGAUUCGUCACACUAUCAUUAACUGAAUCCAUAGGUUAAUGAGGCGAACCGGGGGAACUGAAACAUCUAAGUACCCCGAGGAAAAGAAAUCAACCGAGAUUCCCCCAGUAGCGGCGAGCGAACGGGGAGGAGCCCAGAGCCUGAAUCAGUGUGUGUGUUAGUGGAAGCGUCUGGAAAGGCGCGCGAUACAGGGUGACAGCCCCGUACACAAAAAUGCACAUGCUGUGAGCUCGAUGAGUAGGGCGGGACACGUGGUAUCCUGUCUGAAUAUGGGGGGACCAUCCUCCAAGGCUAAAUACUCCUGACUGACCGAUAGUGAACCAGUACCGUGAGGGAAAGGCGAAAAGAACCCCGGCGAGGGGAGUGAAAAAGAACCUGAAACCGUGUACGUACAAGCAGUGGGAGCCUCUUUUAUGGGGUGACUGCGUACCUUUUGUAUAAUGGGUCAGCGACUUAUAUUCUGUAGCAAGGUUAACCGAAUAGGGGAGCCGAAGGGAAACCGAGUCUUAACCGGGCGUUAAGUUGCAGGGUAUAGACCCGAAACCCGGUGAUCUAGCCAUGGGCAGGUUGAAGGUUGGGUAACACUAACUGGAGGACCGAACCGACUAAUGUUGAAAAAUUAGCGGAUGACUUGUGGCUGGGGGUGAAAGGCCAAUCAAACCGGGAGAUAGCUGGUUCUCCCCGAAAGCUAUUUAGGUAGCGCCUCGUGAAUUCAUCUCCGGGGGUAGAGCACUGUUUCGGCAAGGGGGUCAUCCCGACUUACCAACCCGAUGCAAACUGCGAAUACCGGAGAAUGUUAUCACGKRCAGCWGWUGCUKUAAUCGMAUKCSRUGCCAGACGACGUUASGYWSCUGUAACYYSAYGAUGCUCAGACGUACKAGSUGUAYMKCGAKMNAUGCUNNWGCYSWRMSGUMGSURYWSAUCGMAUCGAKCKMWGMYGWRCSGUACGUWRGCUGUACAUCGAUCGAUGCUCAGACGUACGUAGCUGUACAUCGAUCGAUGCUCAGACGUACGUAGCUGUACAUCGAUCGAUGCUCAGACGUACGUAGCUGUACAUCGAUCGAUGCUCAGACGUACGUAGCUGUACAUCGAUCGAUGCUYRSWSKKASGYAKSNNNNNNNNNNNNNNNNNNNNNNNCWGACAUAAGUAACGAUAAAGCGGGUGAAAAGCCCGCUCGCCGGAAGACCAAGGGUUCNNCUGUCCAACGUUAAUCGGGGCAGGGUGAGUCGACCCCUAAGGCGAGGCCGAAAGGCGUAGUCGAUGGGAAACAGGUUAAUAUUCCUGUACUUGGUGUUACUGCGAAGGGGGGACGGAGAAGGCUAUGUUGGCCGGGCGACGGUUGUCCCGGUUUAAGCGUGUAGGCUGGUUUUCCAGGCAAAUCCGGAAAAUCAAGGCUGAGGCGUGAUGACGAGGCACUACGGUGCUGAAGCAACAAAUGCCCUGCUUCCAGGAAAAGCCUCUAAGCAUCAGGUAACAUCAAAUCGUACCCCAAACCGACACAGGUGGUCAGGUAGAGAAUACCAAGGCGCUUGAGAGAACUCGGGUGAAGGAACUAGGCAAAAUGGUGCCGUAACUUCGGGAGAAGGCACGCUGAUAUGUAGGUGAAGUCCCUCGCGGAUGGAGCUGAAAUCAGUCGAAGAUACCAGCUGGCUGCAACUGUUUAUUAAAAACACAGCACUGUGCAAACACGAAAGUGGACGUAUACGGUGUGACGCCUGCCCGGUGCCGGAAGGUUAAUUGAUGGGGUCAGCGCAAGCGAAGCUCUUGAUCGAAGCCCCGGUAAACGGCGGCCGUAACUAUAACGGUCCUAAGGUAGCGAAAUUCCUUGUCGGGUAAGUUCCGACCUGCACGAAUGGCGUAAUGAUGGCCAGGCUGUCUCCACCCGAGACUCAGUGAAAUUGAACUCGCUGUGAAGAUGCAGUGUACCCGCGGCAAGACGGAAAGACCCCGUGAACCUUUACUAUAGCUUGACACUGAACAUUGAGCCUUGAUGUGUAGGAUAGGUGGGAGGCUUUGAAGUGUGGACGCCAGUCUGCAUGGAGCCGACCUUGAAAUACCACCCUUUAAUGUUUGAUGUUCUAACGUGGACCCGUGAUCCGGGUUGCGGACAGUGUCUGGUGGGUAGUUUGACUGGGGCGGUCUCCUCCUAAAGAGUAACGGAGGAGCACGAAGGUUGGCUAAUCCUGGUCGGACAUCAGGAGGUUAGUGCAAUGGCAUAAGCCAGCUUGACUGCGAGCGUGACGGCGCGAGCAGGUGCGAAAGCAGGUCAUAGUGAUCCGGUGGUUCUGAAUGGAAGGGCCAUCGCUCAACGGAUAAAAGGUACUCCGGGGAUAACAGGCUGAUACCGCCCAAGAGUUCAUAUCGACGGCGGUGUUUGGCACCUCGAUGUCGGCUCAUCACAUCCUGGGGCUGAAGUAGGUCCCAAGGGUAUGGCUGUUCGCCAUUUAAAGUGGUACGCGAGCUGGGUUUAGAACGUCGUGAGACAGUUCGGUCCCUAUCUGCCGUGGGCGCUGGAGAACUGAGGGGGGCUGCUCCUAGUACGAGAGGACCGGAGUGGACGCAUCACUGGUGUUCGGGUUGUCAUGCCAAUGGCACUGCCCGGUAGCUAAAUGCGGAAGAGAUAAGUGCUGAAAGCAUCUAAGCACGAAACUUGCCCCGAGAUGAGUUCUCCCUGACCCUUUAAGGGUCCUGAAGGAACGUUGAAGACGACGACGUUGAUAGGCCGGGUGUGUAAGCGCAGCGAUGCGUUGAGCUAACCGGUACUAAUGAACCGUGAGGCUUAACCUUACAACGCCGAAGGUGUUU
rnacentral:rRNA from 1 species